AUGACUGCUAUCCUGCUACUCAACAUAGCCUGCCUUCUUAGUUUCUGCCUGCCUUUGGCAGAGCCGUGUAAGUUGGCCAUCCAACCCAAGGCACCGAUUGUGGAAUUUGGGGGCUCUGUAAAACUCAACUGUACAUCCACCUGCACCAACUACACUAAAGUGGACUGGGAGGUGUCGUUUGCACGAGAUGUCAAGGAAGGAGAAGGGUGGAUUUCUCUGAACAUCAAGAACGUGACAGAAUGGACCACUCAACCAUUGUGUGUGGCUAGAUACAAGGAAUCAGACUCCAUCCACACCAGGGCAGUAAUCUAUGUUUACCAGAGGUCUCGCAGUUGGAUCGCAGCUGUGGUGGUUGUGUCAUUGUUGGCUGUAGUCUUCACUGGAGGCAUUUUCUGGUAUCAUUGCAGGAAGUGA
rnacentral:lncRNA from 1 species